UCCACUUUAAAAGUUAUAUAUAUAUAUACCAGUGUCACACAGCGCGCACACGUAUACGUAUAUAUUUCGAUUUCUCGAUAUCUGUCAAAUCGAAGUAUCGACAUAUACUCUUUAGUAAUGUUAGUAAGUUUCCUCGAAAUAUAAGUCAUGUUUUCAUUACAAAUAAUGUUUUCUUAUUGGUUGACCUAUAUUCUUCUGUAUUGUUAGUAAGUUUCGUCGAAAUGUAGGUCAUGUUUUGAUUUAAAUGCGACACUGUGCGGAGAGAUUUUUUAAAACUUUAAACGAACUUAAAGUUAAAAUAAAAUGUUCUUAUCGACAUCGUUAUAACUUUUUGAAAUUUGAUUAAGCGCUUCGAUUUAAGAUACAAUGUAUAUGUAUAAGAGAGAGAGAGAGAGAGAGAGAUAAAACAAA
rnacentral:lncRNA from 1 species